AUUGAACGCUGGCGGCAGGCCUAACACAUGCAAGUCGAGCGAGCGGCGGACGGGUGAGUAAUGUCUGGGAAACUGCCUGAUGGAGGGGGAUAACUACUGGAAACGGUAGCUAAUACCGCAUACCAUCAGAUGUGCCCAGAUGGGAUUAGCUAGUAGGUGGGGUAACGGCUCACCUAGGCGACGAUCCCUAGCUGGUCUGAGAGGAUGACCAGCCUCACUGGAACUGAAGCACGGUCCAGACUCCUACGGGAGGCAGCAGUGGGGAAUAUUGCACAAUGGGCGCAAGCCUGAUGCAGCCAUGCCGCGUGUGUGGAGAAGGCCUUGGGGUUGUAAAGCACUUGAAGCGGGGAGGCGUUACCCGCAGAAGGAGCAACGGCUAACUCCGUGCCAGCAGCCGCGGUAAUAC
rnacentral:rRNA from 1 species